UGCCAAGUCUGGCAGCCACCUUUGGUGUCCAGCAUGAGUGGAGGCAGAGCCCUCUUUGGCAUGUCCCCAGGAUGUUAUCAGAGCUGGCAGCUUCCUCAUCCCCAGGGGGUUUGCCAAGAGCUGGGCUGGCACCAGGAGCGUGCAGUGGGAACACCUGGAUGGGACCUCCACCAGCAGAUGGCAUUCAGGGUGGCUGAGUGCCUCACUGAAGUCACAGGACAUCUGGGGACACAGAGGACCCCUCCUUGUCUCUGGGGGGCUGCAGCAGCUUUCCUGGUGGUGGCUUUCGUGUGUAUCUCCCAUCACUGUGUUUCAGUCUCUGAUUUAUUUUGCGCAUGGCAAGGGAAAAGCAGAAAUGUCUGCCAGGCAACUGUGUUACCACAAGGAUGGGAGUUCUGUAAGGAAAAAGCUCAAAAUGAUCUUGAUUUCAGCAUAUUUACUUCAGGCAGAAGAAGCCCAUGAAAGGAGAGAGAGAUCCAGUGAAAUUCUGGCCCUGUUGAAGUGGAUGGGAAUUUUGCCACUGAUUGUUCAACACAGGAGCCUUCCCUACAGACCUGUAAGGAAUUUAGUAACCGGAUUGUAAUUUAUGCUGGGGAAGAUGAUAAUACAACAGGGAAAAUUUGGUGCUUGGAUAAAUGAACCAUUGAUACUGCAUCUGCUUACAUAUUUUCCACCAAAGCCACAUCAGGUCAUCUCUCCUGCAAGGACAGAGAAGCCUGUGAAAGAAAGGAGCAGAAAAAGCCCUUUUUCUGCCCAUAUGCUCAUAUGCUCAUAUGUGUCAUAUGCUGAGCGGGUCUGAACCCUGCAUGAGUGUUUAUGGUUACUCUUCAAAGGCUCUGCUUCAGUUCGGACAAUCACAGAUGAUGAGGACUGCCACUGACGUGCACUUUUGUUUUCUAACAUAGCCUCUUUGGAAACUAUGAUGUUACAAUACUGGCUAGUCAGUCAGUCUGUAAUUCUUGGUUGGCCUCUCCUGUUGUAACACAAUUAUACUUUUUUUUUUUUAUUAUUUUUUUAUUUUUCCUUCAGCUCUCAGAGAGAUCAGGCUACAAAAUACUGACUUCCUCCUGAACCUUUGGAUCCCAUUGGUAUCUCCUCUCUGCUGGGCCUAUCUAUCCCACAUUUCAAGUUUAUUUCCAGGCAGUUCUCAGCAUCCUCUUCAGAGCUGUAUCCUUGGUUUAUUGAUAAGCUUUACAGACUGGGAGAAGAACUCACUGAGGACUCAUUGAACUCAUUGACAGAGGAGUGGCCAGCAGGCAAAGGUGGUGAUGGUACCCCUCUGCUCUGCCCUUGUGAGGCCCCACCUGGAGUGCUGCAUCCAGGGCUGGGGCCCCCAGCACAAGAAGGAUGUGGGGCUAUUAGAGCAGGUCCAGAGGAGGACCACAGUGAAGAUCAGAGGCUGGAGCACCUCUCUUGUGAAGAAAGGCUGAGAGAGCUGGGGAUGUUCAGCCUAGAGAAGAGAAGGCUCUGAGGAAAUGUCAUUGAGUCCUUUCAAUACUUAAAGAGAUCUUACAAAAAAGAUGGAGAAGGACACUUUACUCAGGUAGAUAGCAAUAGGACAAGGGAGAAUGGUCUUAGACUAAAAGAGGAUAGAUUUAUAGUAGACAGUAGGAGGAAAUUCUUCAUUCAGAAGGUGGUGAGGCACUGGCACAGGUUGCCCUCAGAAGCUGUAGAUGCCUCAUCCCUGGAGGUGUUCAAGGCCAGGCUGGAUGGGGCUUUGGGCAACCUGGUCUGGUGGGAGGUGUCCCUGCCCAUGGCAGGGGUGUUGAACUAGAUGAUCUUUGAGGUUCUUUCCAACCUCAGCCAUUCUCUGAUUCUAUGAUUUCAGCCUUUGCUGAAUAUCUGACUUCCUCACAGAUAUAAACAGAGUCAUUUCACAAUAACCCUGUUAGACAAGGAAGACUGAUCACCUUGACUUAGACCAGAAACAUGGGGGCUUUCACAGUGAUCACAAACAUGCGGUAGCCAAAGACGAAAUGAUUUUUCAGUGGAGAAUACAUUGUGUUCUCACCCAGAGGAGCUGAAUCUUUCCUGAGUGGGGUGAAGAUUUCUCCACUGACACGGGCUGCGGCUGAGGGGUGUUGAGGAGCCAUCCCUGGAGAAGUGCAGUCAGUAAUUAUGGUGAUUGACUAGAAAGGACAUUCCCCAAGUUUUGGCCAGCAAGUGUAGGGUUAGUUUAAUACAUUGCAAGGAUUUUUAUUUAUUUAUUUUCUUUUAAUUAAAAGAAGGAAGGGGUGUGCUCAGUUUGUAAACACAAAUGCAAACACAUUUGGUAACUAAGCAGUUUGGCUGGUGUUCUGCUUAUAAAGGAUGAAGUUUGCUGUUAGGCUUUGGAAUAAUAGCAUAUGGCAGUACACUGAAUAUUUGUCAUGAAGUGAUUUCAUCUUCUACAUUAAAGUAGUCUACCAAGUGUGGAGACUGAUGUUUUUAAAAGUCAGAUGUGACAGAGGAAAAAGUUAAUCCCUUAGAGAAAGAAUAACAUACUGAUUGGAUUCGUUAUUUAGGGCUAUAUAGAUAUGCAUUUAGAUCAUGCUGGUUUUAAUAUUUCAAGACCUGGAUGCAGUUCUUCAUGAAUAUCAGCUCCUAAGAAUGUUAAAAAUGCUUUUAUUUUUAAAGAAAAUAAACAUUUUCUGUGCUUUUAUGACUAACUGCUU
rnacentral:lncRNA from 1 species